AGAAACGUUUCCAAAAAGAUGAAACAUAUCCGAAAAAAACAAACCCAUAUUUGGUCGAUAAGAUUUUUCGAUCAGAAUCAUCAUAUUUAUUCACGUGUUUUCGGAAAAUGAUUCGUAGGGAAUGUUGUAAAAAGCAUCGAAGAGGUGAGCACCGACACUGGAAUUCGACAACAAGAAACAAUGUUUUCCCUGUUCACAGCCACAGGAAACUAACAACUGAUAAGCC
rnacentral:lncRNA from 1 species